rnacentral:rRNA from 1 species
GACUCUCUGGCUUGUAACUGACGCUGAGGCGCGAAAGCGUGGGUAGCAAACAGGAUUAGAUACCCUGGUAGUCCACGCCGUAAACGAUGAGUGCUAGGUGUUAGGGGUUUCGAUACCCUUGGUGCCGAAGUUAACACAUUAAGCACUCCGCCUGGGGAGUACGGUCGCAAGACUGAAACUCAAAGGAAUUGACGGGGACCCGCACAAGCAGUGGAGUAUGUGGUUUAAUUCGAAGCAACGCGAAGAACCUUACCAGGUCUUGACAUCCCUCUGACCGGUACAGAGAUGUACCUUUCCUUCGGGACAGAGGAGACAGGUGGUGCAUGGUUGUCGUCAGCUCGUGUCGUGAGAUGUUGGGUUAAGUCCCGCAACGAGCGCAACCCUUGAUCUUAGUUGCCAGCACUUCGGAUGGGCACUCUAAGGUGACUGCCGGUGACAAACCGGAGGAAGGUGGGGAUGACGUCAAAUCAUCAUGCCCCUUAUGACCUGGGCUACACACGUACUACAAUGGCCGGUACAACGGGCAGUGAAACCGCGAGGUGGAACGAAUCCUAAAAAGCCGGUCUCAGUUCGGAUUGCAGGCUGCAACUCGCCUGCAUGAAGUCGGAAUGCUAGUAAUCG